rnacentral:rRNA from 1 species
GAGGGUUUGAUCCUGGCUCAGAUUGAACGCUGGCGGCAGGCCUAACACAUGCAAGUCGAGCGGAUGAAGGGAGCUUGCUCCUGGAUUCAGCGGCGGACGGGUGAGUAAUGCCUAGGAAUCUGCCUGGUAGUGGGGGAUAACGUCCGGAAACGGGCGCUAAUACCGCAUACGUCCUGAGGGAGAAAGUGGGGGAUCUUCGGACCUCACGCUAUCAGAUGAGCCUAGGUCGGAUUAGCUAGUUGGUGGGGUAAAGGCCUACCAAGGCGACGAUCCGUAACUGGUCUGAGAGGAUGAUCAGUCACACUGGAACUGAGACACGGUCCAGACUCCUACGGGAGGCAGCAGUGGGGAAUAUUGGACAAUGGGCGAAAGCCUGAUCCAGCCAUGCCGCGUGUGUGAAGAAGGUCUUCGGAUUGUAAAGCACUUUAAGUUGGGAGGAAGGGCAGUAAGUUAAUACCUUGCUGUUUUGACGUUACCAACAGAAUAAGCACCGGCUAACUUCGUGCCAGCAGCCGCGGUAAUACGAAGGGUGCAAGCGUUAAUCGGAAUUACUGGGCGUAAAGCGCGCGUAGGUGGUUCAGCAAGUUGGAUGUGAAAUCCCCGGGCUCAACCUGGGAACUGCAUCCAAAACUACUGAGCUAGAGUACGGUAGAGGGUGGUGGAAUUUCCUGUGUAGCGGUGAAAUGCGUAGAUAUAGGAAGGAACACCAGUGGCGAAGGCGACCACCUGGACUGAUACUGACACUGAGGUGCGAAAGCGUGGGGAGCAAACAGGAUUAGAUACCCUGGUAGUCCACACCGUAAACGAUGUCGACUAGCCGUUGGGAUCCUUGAGAU